UACGUAGGUGGCAAGCGUUGUCCGGAUUUACUGGGCGUAAAGAGCGCGCAGGCGGCUGGGCAAGUCCGAUGUGAAAGCUUCCGGCUUAACUGGAAAAUUGCAUCGGAAACUGCUCGGCUUGAAGGUGGGAGAGGGUAGCGGAAUUCCCGGUGUAGUGGUGAAAUGCGUAGAUAUCGGGAGGAACACCAGUGGCGAAGGCGGCAACCUGGCCCACUCUUGACGCUGAGGCGCGAAAGCUAGGGGAGCAAACGGG
rnacentral:rRNA from 1 species